GACGAACGCUGGCGGCGUGCUUAACACAUGCAAGUCGAGCGGUAAGGCCUUUCGGGGUACACGAGCGGCGAACGGGUGAGUAACACGUGGGUGAUCUGCCCUGCACUUCGGGAUAAGCCUGGGAAACUGGGUCUAAUACCGGAUAUGACCUCCUAUCGCAUGGUGGGUGGUGGAAAGAUUUAUCGGUGCAGGAUGGGCCCGCGGCCUAUCAGCUUGUUGGUGGGGUAAUGGCCUACCAAGGCGACGACGGGUAGCCGACCUGAGAGGGUGACCGGCCACACUGGGACUGAGACACGGCCCAGACUCCUACGGGAGGCAGCAGUGGGGAAUAUUGCACAAUGGGCGAAAGCCUGAUGCAGCGACGCCGCGUGAGGGAUGACGGCCUUCGGGUUGUAAACCUCUUUCAGCAGGGACGAAGCGCAAGUGACGGUACCUGCAGAAGAAGCACCGGCUAACUACGCG
rnacentral:rRNA from 1 species